UCUUCCCAAGCAGGGUGAUACACCGUUUGCUAAACACCACCACUUCUCUCAUCUCAUCUUUCAAAAGACCUCAAUUAAGCAAUGAAAAGUCUGUAUUGAAAUUUUUGAAAAAUGUAUUGAAGAAAGGACCAAGGAAUAACACCUCCAGGACAGUAAACUGAUUUAAAAGAAAAUGGUCUUUCAUAUGAUUUAUAAAUAUCCAUGAGACUAAGGCCAAAUAAAGAAAGCAACUGUGAAA